GUGUGUGUGUGUGUGUGUGUGUGUGUGUGUGUGUGUGGAGUGUAUGUGUGCACACACACAUAUGUACCUUUGCAUG
rnacentral:pre_miRNA from 1 species